UACGUAGGGUGCAAGCGUUGUCCGGAAUUAUUGGGCGUAAAGGGCUCGUAGGCGGUCUGUCACGUCGGGAGUGAAAACUCAGGGCUUAACCCUGAGCCUGCUUCCGAUACGGGCAGACUAGAGGUAUGCAGGGGAGAACAGAAUUCCUGGUGUAGCGGUGAAAUGCGCAGAUAUCAGGAGGAACACCGGUGGCGAAGGCGGUUCUCUGGGCAUUACCUGACGCUGAGGAGCGAAAGUGUGGGGAGCGAACAGG
rnacentral:rRNA from 1 species